rnacentral:rRNA from 1 species
CAGUCGCCGCGGUGAUACGUAGGGUGCGAGCGCUGUCCGGAUUUAUUGGGCGUAAAGGGCUCGUAGGUGGUUGAUCGCGUCGGAAGUGUAAUCUUGGGGCUUAGCCCUGAGCGUGCUUCGAUACGGGUUGACUUGAGGAAGGUAGGGGAGAAUGGAAUUCCUGGUGGAGCGGUGGAAUGCGCAGAUAUCAGGAGGAGCACCAGUGGCGAAGGCGGUUCUCUGGGCCUUUCUUGACGCUGAGGAGCGAAAGCGUGGGGAGCGAACAGGCUUAGAUACCCCCGUAGUCCCUGUCUCUUAUACA